AUCUGUGGCACAAAGGGCCAGUGUGUUUGGCUGUUAACCAGAAGGCUGGUGGUUUGAGCCCACUCAGGGAUG